rnacentral:rRNA from 1 species
GGUCGAGCGGACAGAUGGGAGCUUGCUCCCUGAUGUUAGCGGCGGACGGGUGAGUAACACGUGGGUAACCUGCCUGUAAGACUGGGAUAACUCCGGGAAACCGGGGCUAAUACCGGAUGGUUGUUUGAACCGCAUGGUUCAAACAUAAAAGGUGGCUUCGGCUACCACUUACAGAUGGACCCGCGGCGCAUUAGCUAGUUGGUGAGGUAACGGCUCACCAAGGCGACGAUGCGUAGCCGACCUGAGAGGGUGAUCGGCCACACUGGGACUGAGACACGGCCCAGACUCCUACGGGAGGCAGCAGUAGGGAAUCUUCCGCAAUGGACGAAAGUCUGACGGAGCAACGCCGCGUGAGUGAUGAAGGUUUUCGGAUCGUAAAGCUCUGUUGUUAGGGAAGAACAAGUACCGUUCGAAUAGGGCGGUACCUUGACGGUACCUAACCAGAAAGCCACGGCUAACUACGUGCCAGCAGCCGCGGUAAUACGUAGGUGGCAAGCGUUGUCCGGAAUUAUUGGGCGUAAAGGGCUCGCAGGCGGUUUCUUAAGUCUGAUGUGAAAGCCCCCGGCUCACCCGGGGAGGGUCAUUGGAAACUGGGGAACUUGAGUGCAGAAGAGGAGAGUGGAAUUCCACGUGUAGCGGUGAAAUGCGUAGAGAUGUGGAGGAACACCAGUGGCGAAAGGCGACUCUCUGGUCUGUAACUGACGCUGAGGAGCGAAAGCGUGGGGGAGCGAACAGGAUUAGAUACCCUGGUAGUCCACGCCGUAACGAUGA